rnacentral:rRNA from 1 species
AGAGUUUGAUCCUGGCUCAGAGCGAACGCUGGCGGCGUGCUUAACACAUGCAAGUCGAGUGCGCGUCUGUAGCAAUACAGAUGGCGCACGGCGCACGGGUGCGUAACACGUGGGUAAUCUGCCCUUCGAUGGGGAAUAACUCCGGGAAACCGAAGCUAAUUCCGCAUAACAUUCCUUGAACUUCGGUUUAAGGACUCAAAGCCGUAAGGCGUCGGAGGAGGAACCCGCGCACGAUUAGCUAGUUGGUAGGGUAACGGCCUACCAAGGCUUUGAUCGUUAGCUGGUCUGAGAGGAUGGCCAGCCACACUGGAACUGAGACACGGUCCAGACUCCUACGGGAGGCAGCAGUGGGGAAUCUUGCACAAUGGGCGAAAGCCUGAUGCAGCGACGCCGCGUGGGGGAUGAAGCUUUUCGGAGUGUAAACCCCUUU